CAGCGCUUCCACUUCCUGUAUGUCACCACUUCCCCUGGUCCGAGGGCUAUACUCACCUGUUGUCAGGGACUCGCAUGGCUGCAGUAGUUGUGACCCCAAGAUGCAGCAGACAGGAGGACGACGUGCAGGUCUGAGGAAGCGAGUGAGGAGAACGCAGACCUUCUGAUCUUUUUGGAGGAAGACUUUGGAUAUCAACGUGAGGAUGACACACUGAGCAGGUCUUUGGCUGUCAGAGUUGACCAACUUCUCUGUUUAUGUUUUCAUUAUUUUACUAUCAAGG